CUGGAGUACUGGGUCCAGUUCUGGGCCACCCAGUACAAGAGAGACCUGGGCAUAUUGGAAAGAACCCAAUGUGGGGCCACCAAGAUGGUCGGGGGAGCAGGGCAAGGGAUGACACAGACCUCCAGAGGGGGUUGGGCAUCCAGAGGUCCCUUCCAACCUUAGCCAUUCUGUGGUCCUGUGAUUGUGUGAAUGGAAAAUGUUUAUGAGUUAAGACUAGAGUUUUCAUUCAAAGAUAUGACUAUGAGGAUGUCACUACUUUGCUACAUAUAAUUACAAUACGUUUCAUCAUUGGCAAAAGUGCGUUCAAGGAUAGAUGACAAUAGAAAAAUACAGGGACAAUCACCUGCAACCAAAAAUGCAAUUAUCUCCAAGAAAGGGGGACCAUGUUAUGUGACCAGCUGAGUCUUCAUCAUUUUAUUAGGGACCUCUCAGUCUGCUGCCUUGUUACAGACUCACAGAGCAAGCAGACAGAGGAAAUAGCAACAAGAGACAGAAUCCUGUGUUAGACUGGAGUCAGGACAGAGUUGUUAAAAAGGAUGCUACUUUAGCCGAUACAAAAGGAAAAGACAUGAGCUGAUUUGGAAAAGAAGAAGAACUACUACAAAAAACUGGAGGAGAUAGGUGGGGAUGAAUAUAGUAAAUGAUAAAGCUGGGAGAACUGAUGAAGAGGGCUAUCUUUUUAAAGAUCAAAUAAAGUUAUUUCCAGUAAA